UGGAAAAUCUGUGGGAGGGGGUGGGAUAAGAGGGUGGGGUCAAGUGUGAUCCGGAUUUAGUGGGGUUAAAGGGUCCGUAGGCGGGGCUAUAAGUCAGUGGUGAAAUCUCACAGCUUAACUGUGAAACUGCCGUUGAUACUGUAGGUCUUGAGUAAAUUUGAAGUGGCUGGAAUAAGUAGUGUAGCGGUGAAAUGCAUAGAUAUUACUUAGAACACCAAUUGCGAAGGCAGGUCACUAAGAUUUAACUGACGCUGAGGGACGAAAGCGUGGGGAGCAAACAGGAUUAGAUACCCCUGUAGUC
rnacentral:rRNA from 1 species